rnacentral:tRNA from 1 species
GGGUAUAGCUCAGUGGUAGAGCAUGUGCUUAGCAUGCAUGAGGUCCUGGGUUCAAUCCUCAAUACCUCCA